rnacentral:rRNA from 1 species
AGUCGAGGGGUAUGGUUCUUCGGAACCAGAGACCGGCGCACGGGUGCGUAACGCGUAUGCAAUCUGCCUUUCACAGAGGGAUAGCCCAGAGAAAUUUGGAUUAAUACCUCAUAGUAUAGCGACAUCGCAUGAUGAUGCUAUUAAAGUCACAACGGUGAAAGAUGAGCAUGCGUCCCAUUAGCUAGUUGGUAAGGUAACGGCUUACCAAGGCAACGAUGGGUAGGGGUCCUGAGAGGGAGAUCCCCCACACUGGUACUGAGACACGGACCAGACUCCUACGGGAGGCAGCAGUGAGGAAUAUUGGUCAAUGGGCGCAAGCCUGAACCAGCCAUGCCGCGUGCAGGAUGACGGUCCUAUGGAUUGUAAACUGCUUUUGCACAGGAAGAAACACUGAUUCGUGAAUCAGCUUGACGGUACUGUGAGAAUAAGGAUCGGCUAACUCCGUGCCAGCAGCCGCGGUAAUACGGAGGAUCCAAGCGUUAUCCGGAAUCAUUGGGUUUAAAGGGUCCGUAGGCGGUCUGGUAAGUCAGUGGUGAAAGCCCAUCGCUCAACGGUGGAACGGCCAUUGAUACUGCUGGACUUGAAUUAUUAGGAAGUAACUAGAAUAUGUAGUGUAGCGGUGAAAUGCUUAGAGAUUACAUGGAAUACCAAUUGCGAAGGCAGGUUACUACUAAUGGAUUGACGCUGAUGGACGAAAGCGUGGGUAGCGAACAGGAUUAGAUACCCUGGUAGUCCACGCCGUAAACGAUGGAUACUAGCUGUUGGAAGCAAUUUCAGUGGCUAAGCGAAAGUGAUAAGUAUCCCACC